GAAAGCUUUAAUGCAGAGGGGAAAGGGCCUGAAAGGGAGUGAAGAGAGAUUGCUACUUCAUCAGUUUCUCUCCUCCCUCCUUGAAAGGAGUGAAUACUCUCCUGAUUCUGGCAAUUGUAGGUAGUCCCAGUUGUGAAGUGCAUUACUGGACGCUGCUUGUUUGCACAUUAGAAAUUCAACAUGCUGAAGUGAAAAUAAUAUUCUAAGAACCGGUUUAGAAUGGUGUCCUGGCUGUGCUCAUCACUAAAAACCAUCUGAGGAUGCUUCAAAAUAAUCUUACAAAAUAAUAUCUCGCUGUGGGUGCAGAAGUAAGGAACUGAUACCUUGCAACUGUCAAGCUGUUACUUCAUUCUCAUUUUUUUUCGAGAUGUGACCUGGAAAAUGAGUCAUUUCUGGCAUGAGCACAAAGGCUGAGUUACUGGGAUCAUUCACAGUGACAUAGAACUUUAGAACUUCAGAAACCGUCUUGGAAGAGGUUAAAUGAUGCCAUGAGAAAUACUGGCCAGCAUGCAGCCUUUCUAAAAGCUCUGCUUUCUUUAGCCAUGAACUCAUUUGCUUUGUAGCUUUCUGUUCACCUUUAGUGUCUGAUUUCGUAGUCAGUAAAGUUCAACAGCAGAACUCAGACCUCAUCCUUUGUGCCACUCAUACUUCAAAAGGACAUGAAAUAGCUUUUACAUCUCCACCUCCCUACUAAAAUCUCUCCUACCUUUUGGUUUCUUGCAUUAGAAGGGAAGGAAUGUACCUGAAACGGUCAGUUUUUUCUUCUUUUCGUAUUGUUUGAUGCAUGAUGAGCUUGGCUAUCUGAUCUCAUUGUGUUACUGAAUAUGGCUUCAUUAGCCACAAAAAGUGCUAUCUACAAGGAAGAAAAUAUGCCCUCUGCUGAAUUCAUCUGUGGCUAGAAUUUAAAAAGCUGCUGUCAGAGUACCACGAUGGAACUAUUGUUUGCAAAUAAAGCAAAUUAAAAUAAACAUCUUUUAUCAUAAG
rnacentral:lncRNA from 7 species